UACCCAGGGCGCGGUCGGCGCGUCAGGCUUUUCGCUCCGCGCCCUGGAGGUCAAGUUUGCAAACGGCUGCGGCGUGGGCAACCUUUUUCUUUUUUUUUCAAACUGUUUAUGCUGAGAUUGAGGGAGCCUUUUUGUCACACAAGUUCAACACGUUCUACGCUGCCGCUGGUCUCAAACUAGCAAGGUCAAGCGGCGAUUUUUGGCCCAUUUGUUCGGAACCUAUUUGUUCUUUCCCACUCUGCUGCUUUUCGCUUUUUCCCUUCUCUCGGACGGGCUGCAGCCUUCUGGAGCUGACUCAGUCGAGAGGCGUCCAGACUCAAAUAGGGGUCACACAUGCUGCCGGGAGAGGCCUCUGCAUAAAAAUGCUCUUUAAAAUUUUUAAAAAGCAGCAUAAUAGCCAAUGGACUUAGCAAAGCGUGACCUGUCCAGGCCGCUCGGAGGGCAGGCCUGGCAGUCAUCUGUGUCUGGACCACCACUCAACGUCCGGGACGUACCUGUUCGCUGACGUAUUAGCAAACGUUUCAAGGAUGUGGCUGUCAGCUGUCAUUAGCCCACGCGUUUUACCGGGAGGAGGACACGUCCAGGGCGUGUUUGCGUAGAAUAUUCUGGGAAGGUCAGAAUCUGACCUCUGGAACAGUCAAAUGUUCCUUCUUGUACAGACAUUUAUCAAAUGACUGGAGAAAAGCUGGCACGUGAGCACUGGGGUACAGAGGCGUGGAAGGGACGCUUGCAAGUCUUUGGGGAAACUCGGACCCAAAUCGGACACAAGUCACCCCAAUGAGUUAUAGCGCUCCCUGCGUGAACCAUCAGGUCCUGAACGCUAGAACCUGGCGUCCGGAUGCGCAAGUAGAGGCCGGGCAGCUCGGAAACACCUGAUGACCUGGAAGCGCCGGUGGCUGUUCAAGUGGGCAAAAUCUUCAUCCUUCUCCCUGUACUCUGUGCACUUGGAAGCUGAAGCUGACUUCCAUGGAAUCACUGCAGCCUUCUCUUGCACCCUGGCUUCCCCUUGGGUUUGGUCAAUUGCAGGCACCAGCAGAGGAGUGCAGAGUGACAGAGAGCCACCCUUCACCCCAGGAAGAGAAGGUACAUGGACACCCUCAUCAUCUCUAAACAACAGAAGUUACUGCGUGGC